GACGAACGCUGGCGGCGUGCUUAACACAUGCAAGUCGAACGGAAAGGCCCCUUUGGGGGUCCUCGAGUGGCGAACGGGUGAGUAACACGUGAGUAACCUGCCCUUGACUUCGGGAUAACUUCAGGAAACUGGGGCUAAUACCGGAUAGGAAUCCUUGCUGCAUGGUGGGGGUUGGAAAGCUUCGGCGGUUUUGGAUGGACUCGCGGCUUAUCAGCUUGUUGGUGGGGUAGUGGCUUACCAAGGCUUUGACGGGUAGCCGGCCUGAGAGGGCGACCGGCCACAUUGGGACUGAGAGAAGGCCCAGACGCGUACGGGAGGCAGAAGUGGGGAAUAUUGCACAAUGGGCGGAAGCCGGAUGCAGAAACGCCGCGUGCGGGAUGACGGCCUUCGGGUUGAAAACCGCUUUCAGCAGGAGCGAAGCUUGUGGUGACGGUACCUGAAGAAGAAGCACCGGCUAACUACGUG
rnacentral:rRNA from 1 species